rnacentral:lncRNA from 1 species
AGCAGGUGGAUACAUUGUAUUUCUGUUGAAGUGAUGGAGAGAUAAUUUUGAAAGCUGGGAUUGUCUGGGUCGGAUGAAGUUUUUCGUUGGGCAAAUUGGCUCUAUUUCCAUUCCAAUUGUCAUGUUUUGUUAUCACUGUAAAAUCUACCUUUUUAGCUUCUGUAAAAGGGACAAAAAAAAAAAAAAUCUCUACAUUGCGUCAAUUUGUUAUGGUCGAACUGUAUGCUGAAGCAGGUGGAUACAUUGUAUUUCUGUUGAAGUGAUGGAGAGAUAAUUUUGAAAGCUGGGAUUGUCUGGGUCGGAUGAAGUUUUUCGUUGGGCAAAUUGGCUCUAUUUCCAUUCCAAUUGUCAUGUUUUGUUAUCACUGUAAAAUCUACCUUUUUAGCUUCUGUAAAAGGGACAAAAAAAAAAGAGAUGGACGUCCAGCAAAACAAUACAGAAGAGCUUACCGAGGGACCCUAUGUAUUUUGAUAUUUGCAGAUAUGUUAAGCUGCCAAUGUACUCUAAUUUUAUGCAAUUGACUUGUGAUUUCCAUUAUCAU